AAAACAACUCUCGGCAACGGAUAUCUCGGCUCUCGCAUCGAUGAAGAACGUAGCGAACUGCGAUACUUGGUGUGAAUUGCAGAAUCCCGUGAACCAUCGAGUCUUUGAACGCAAGUUGCGCCCGAAGCCAUUAGGCCGAGGGCACGUCUGCCUGGGCAUCACGC
rnacentral:rRNA from 1 species